UCAAGAAGCCUUCAAUCCAAGCUCACCAACUCCUCAAGAGCACUUUCAAGUCUCCAUCCACCUUGAGAAAAUCCAAAAAGGAUCUUCUUCUUUUAAGUAAAGUGUAUUUAAAGUUAUAUUCGCUCAUUGAAGGAGCUUUUCUUUGUGCUUAAUUGUGCUAUAAAUUGUUAUACUCAGUUUGAGUGAUUGGUUUUAUUUUGGAGGGGUUCCAAAACAAGGGAAGGUUGAUCCGAACCUUGAAUCGGAGUGUAUAGGGUUGG
rnacentral:lncRNA from 1 species